CCCUAUCCCCUCCUCUCCCGGCUCCUCCGCCAUGCCUCAUCCACUUCCACUGCGCCGCCUCUUCUCCACGGCCUCCUCCUCCUCCACCAUUCAUGUUGUCUUCUGAACCAUCACCGCCCACCUUGAGUGGAGCAAAGGAACAUGGAGGUCAUGGAGUUGCGGAGGUUCAGCGCCGUGUGGUGGCAGGGACGGGACAUUUUCGCCCGCCGUGCCUGAUUCGGUGCUGCAACGGCGGGGGUCAAGGGGCUCCACGGAGGCCACACUCUCCCGGAGGUUCGAGAUCAAGCCGGAUCUGCACGUCACCUACCUAUGUGAAAAUAUUUCAGCACAUAUGCGUUCUUUUGGUUCUUACAGUCCCCUUUCACCUAUGUUUCUAUUUCAUUGGGAUCCACUAGGUCGGUGCCGCCACCAUGGACCAGGCUUGGUCAGCCUGUGCAACCCCAUCGUCAUGUCUGUGCCACCUAUGGACAAGACCGAGGAGAUGGUCCGCCUCGAGCUGGAGGACAAGCGCAUCCCCUCAGCUACCAUCUGUGAGAUGCAGAACCGGAACAUCGUCAGGUAUGUGCCUCCAUCUUGUCAUCCUCUCUUUCCCUGGGCUACGGCCGCUGGCAGCAUCAGGUUUGGUGUACAUUUGGUUGCUACCGAAUGGAUGGAUGGGUUGAGUUCAAUGGUUUGUAUACUGUAUGCGAUCCCUAAAAAUUGUUCAGAAAUGCAAGCGCAGGUUUGGAACAUAGCAGGUAUGGUAUGUAUAAGAAAAGGUUUUUGUUUUAUUUGAUAAUGAAUCAUAUUUUUAUUUCCUAAUUGAUAGGCCAAAGCUUUAGUUCCAAUGUUCUUUAUUGUUUCGCCAGUACCAAUUGAACUCUUCUAAGAUCGUGUGAUAAACUUUUAGUGGCACAUGUAUCACACUCAGGUGAUCAUUUGUUCAGGCACAUGUAUCGGGUUGUUUGAUAGAAGAACUGAAGUGCAAGGGACAGUAGUAUUACUAUGCACUUUUCAAUUCUCAGUAUGGCUGGUACUUUGGUUUGUCAAUUUUGUAGAGCAUAUGACAGGGCUGAUGUUCGCUUCAGCGCAAUGAAAGAUGUUAUUUAUUCUGACUCUACUUUGCUUCCUAUACAUAUAUUUUACCUACAACUGAAACAAAGGUACUAUUUUGUGCUUCAUAUGUAAAUCUUGGUCCACUCACUAGAGCAGUUCAUAUUUCAAUUUAUGUUGAAGAGGAAUACAUGAAUCUAUCUUAUUCAAAGAAUGUCAACAGUGGUUGAUGAAAACGUUAUUGAUUUAGGCUUGAGGAUUUUAGAGCCUAAAGUACAUGAUUCGAAAAGUGAUAUACUAGCUAAAUUUUGUGAUUCUCUUCAAGUUCUAUUCUUUUUCAGUUAAAUAUAUUGGAAUACUUGGUAUAUGCAACAGCUAUAUGAUUCCAUUGGGAUCUAUUCUGAAACCUUUCUCCAUUUGGAUUUGUGAUAACAAGAAGUCUCAGAAAUGAAAAUAGGGUGUACGUUGUACUGAUGACAGUGUAGCUGUUUGUGUUCUAAUCAGAGAUUAUUCUUGCAUAGCUGGUUCAGUUAAAUAUUCCAAGGUUGUGUAUGUUCUUCGAACCAAGUUCAUUUCAAUAUGAAAAACUUUAUUGCAGGUUCUCUUAUAAUACCUCUCCGGGCAUGUCAUUGGCAAUUUAAAGAUUUGCUUCUAUUGUUUCUGAGCCAUUGCUAGAAGUGGUUCAGAAGUUUACAAGGUUGGAAUAUGAAGCUAUGCUCGAAUUUCUCGAGAAGGUCUUAAGCCUAAUCUCUCGUCCACUACUACAAUCGUACGCCUCCACUUGAUGCGUUGCUCUGAUUCAAACCUCUGCUUUGCUGCUCUGAGGGUCGGUUCUUGUCUCACCAUCUCGCGUGCUUUGCUCAUGUGCUCAUCUCUCCGUGUUAAGGUUUGCUUGUUUCUUUCUCUCCACAUGGUGUGUUUUUUGUUGCACUUGGUUUACUGAUUGUUGUUGUGUGGCGUGUUCGGUUCUUCUAUUUCUUAUUGUUUUAUGAUGCUCGAUGGGACGCGCACUGUUAUUUCCUUUGUUAUCUAUUUACUUUAUCUGGAUGCUCCUAGAGAAUACUUACUUCCUAUUCUUUAUAAUAAAUGGAAACACUUCAGUUAUAUCCUAGAACAUAGCAUGGUUAAUUGGUACUUGUACUACGUAAUGGGUGCUUUUUUUACCUUGUGGGGGAUAUGAGAGAGUUUUUCGUUCUACUCCAUUAACUUUAUAUAUACAAUACUGUCAUUUCAAGAUUUUAAGGAGUAUGUACUGUAAUACAACUCAAUCUUGCUAAUUCCACUUUGAGAUGAACCUGUAUUUCGUCUCUUAGGAUUGUAAAAUAUCACCAAUAGAUCAUCAAAAUGAAUUUGGGAGUUUCAUCUAUGUAACCUAACCUUGGCACACAAAUUUAGCUCUUCAGGUUGGUAGAGAACCUAAUUUUACACAGUAAUGGUAAUAAUCAAUGCAUCUCUAUUCAUAUAGUCUCCCCAUUUUGGAAGCACACUAAUUUGUUUGACGUAAAAUGUAAACUGAACUUUAUGCACCCCUUUAUGAAUAGCUGGAGCUAUAAUCAUUCUCAUUUCGAUUCAACUUGAGUACAGGGUUGAUCACCCACCAUCCAGUGUGAGAUUAGAGGCAAUGCAGCGAGCUGAAGUUAUCUAUUGCAGAAAAGAUGAGUAGUUCAUGGCAUGUUUCCCAAAGAGCCAUAAGAGCAAUGAGUAGAUUUCCGUCUUGUACUAACUUGUAUAUGUAGUGAUUUAGCAAAGAUAGAUGAUCCUACUACUGUACAAUUAAGCAUUGGCAAGUUUAAUUGGAGGGUUUUUUUUCUUGUAUCAA